AGUAAACGCUGGCGGUAGGCCUAACACAUGCAAGUCGAACGGCAGCACAGUAAGAGCUUGCUCUUACGGGUGGCGAGUGGCGGACGGGUGAGGAAUACAUCGGAAUCUACUUUUUCGUGGGGGAUAACGUAGGGAAACUUACGCUAAUACCGCAUACGACCUACGGGUGAAAGCAGGGGAUCUUCGGACCUUGCGCGAUUGAAUGAGCCGAUGUCGGAUUAGCUAGUUGGCGGGGUAAAGGCCCACCAAGGCGACGAUCCGUAGCUGGUCUGAGAGGAUGAUCAGCCACACUGGAACUGAGACACGGUCCAGACUCCUACGGGAGGCAGCAGUGGGGAAUAUUGGACAGUGGGCGCAAGCCUGAUCCAGCCAUACCGCGUGGGUGAAGAAGGCCUUCGGGUUGUAAAGCCCUUUUGUUGGGAAAGAAAAGCAGCAGGUUAAUACCCCGCUGUUCUGACGGUACCCAAAGAAUAAGCACCGGCUAACUUCGUG
rnacentral:rRNA from 1 species